AAUAAUGUUGUGACAAGUGUUCGAACAAGUGAUGUCGACACCGAUGACUUCCCGAUUAAGAUAGGACUGCAUCAGGGGUCAGCUUUGAGCCCUUAUCUUUUUGCAUUGGUGAUGGAUGAGGUCACAAGGGGUAUACAAGGAGAUAUCCCAUGGUGUAUGCUCUUUGCGGAUGAUGUGGUGCUAGUUGACGAUAGUCGGACGGGGGUAAAUAGGAAGUUAGAGUUAUGGAGACAAACCUUGGAAUCGAAAGGGUUUAGGCUUAGUAGAACUAAAACCGAGUACAUGAUGUGCGGUUUCAGUACUACUAGGUGUGAGGAGGAGGUUAGCCUUGAUGGCCAGGUGGUACCUCGGAAGGACACCUUUCGGUAUUUGGGGUCAAUGUUGCAGGAGGAUGGGGGUAUUGAUGAAGAUGUGAACCAUCGAAUCAAAGCCGGAUGGAUGAAGUGGCGCCAAGCUUCUGGCAUUCUCUGUGACAAGAGAGUGCCACAAAAGCUAAAAGGCAAGUUCUACAGGACGGCGGUUCGACCCACAAUGUUGUAUGGCGCGGAGUGUUGGCCGACUAAAAGGCGACAUGUUCAACAGUUAGGUGUGGCGGAGAUGCGUAUGUUGAGAUGGAUGUGUGGCCACACGAGGAAGGAUCGAGUCCGGAAUGAUGAUAUACGAGAUAGAGUUGGGGUAGCACCAAUUGAGGAGAAGCUUGUCCAACAUCGUUUGAGAUGGUUUGGGCAUAUUCAGCGCAUGCCUCCAGAAGCUCCAGUGCAUAGCGGACGGCUAAAGCGUGCGGAGAAUGUCAAGAGAGGGCGGGGUCGACCG
rnacentral:rRNA from 1 species